rnacentral:rRNA from 1 species
UACGUAGGGGGCAAGCGUUGUCCGGAUUUAUUGGGCGUAAAGAGCGUGUAGGCGGCCAGACAGGUCUGCUGUGAAAACUCGAGGCUCAACCUCGAGACGCCGGUGGAAACCGUUUGGCUAGAGUCCGGAAGAGGAGAGUGGAAUUCCUGGUGUAGCGGUGAAAUGCGCAGAUAUCAGGAGGAACACCGGUGGCGAAGGCGGGUCUCUGGGCUGUAACUGACGCUGAGGAGCGAAAGCAUGGGGAGCGAACAGG